rnacentral:rRNA from 1 species
GAUGAACGCUGGCGGCGCGCCUAAUACAUGCAAGUCGAGCGAACGGACGAGAAGCUUGCUUCUCUGAUGUUAGCGGCGGACGGGUGAGUAACACGUGGAUAACCUACCUAUAAGACUGGGAUAACUUCGGGAAACCGGAGCUAAUACCGGAUAAUAUUUUGAACCGCAUGGUUCAAAAGUGAAAGACGGUCUUGCUGUCACUUAUAGAUGGAUCCGCGCUGCAUUAGCUAGUUGGUAAGGUAACGGCUUACCAAGGCAACGAUGCGUAGCCGACCUGAGAGGGGGAUAGGCCACACUGGAACUGAGACCCGGUCCAGACUCCUACGGGAGGCAGCAGUAGGGAAUCUUCCGCAAUGGGCGAAAGCCUGACGGAGCAACGCCGCGGGAGUGAUGAAGGGUUUCGGAUCGUAAAACUCUGUUAUUAGGGAAGAAAAAAUGUGUAAGUAACUAUGCACGUCUUGACGGUAACUAAUCAGAAAGCCCCGGCUAAAUACGUG